rnacentral:tRNA from 3 species
GGCGGAUGUAGCCAAGUGGAUCAAGGCAGUGAAUU